rnacentral:pre_miRNA from 1 species
CUGGCCUCCUCCCCCGAAAUUUCUGGCUUUGUGACUAAUGUUCUUUUCUACUUUAGUCACAAAGCCAGAAAUUUCGGGGGAGGAGGCCA